CAGUCCACGCCGUAAACGAUGAUAACUAGCUGUCCGAACCCACAGGGUUUGGGUGGCGCAGCUAACGCAUUAAGUUAUCCGCCUGGGGAGUACGGUCGCAAGAUUAAAACUCAAAGGAAUUGACGGGGGCCUGCACAAGCGGUGGAGCAUGUGGUUUAAUUCGACGCAACGCGCAGAACCUUACCAGCUUUUGACAUCCUGGUCGCGGAUUUGGGAGACCAUUUCCUUCAGUUCGGCUGGACCAGUGACAGGUGCUGCAUGGCUGUCGUCAGCUCGUGUCGUGAGAUGUUGGGUUAAGUCCCGCAACGAGCGCAACCCUCAUCCUUAGUUGCCAGCAUUUAGUUGGGCACUCUAAGGAAACUGCCGGUGAUAAGCCGGAGGAAGGUGGGGAUGACGUCAAGUCCUCAUGGCCCUUACAAGCUGGGCUACACACGUGCUACAAUAGUAGGUACAGAGAGCAGCCACUUGGCGACAAGGAGCGAAUCUAUAAAACCUAUCAC
rnacentral:rRNA from 1 species